AGUUGUUCUUCUCCCUUCUCUCUCUCUCUCUCUCUCUCUUUUUUUUUUUUUUAAUAGUUAUGGCCUCUUUUUGGAGGACGUCUAACUAAACCUGAGAGAGGAAAGUUAUUUUAUGUUCCUCAGAGACCUUACAUGACCCUUGGAACACUUCGAGACCAAGUGAUAUAUCCAGAUGGACGAGAAGAUCAGAAGAGGAAGGGAAUAUCUGACUUAGUACUGAAGGAAUACUUAGACAAUGUCCAGUUGGGUCAUAUCCUUGAACGUGAAGGAGGCUGGGACAGUGUUCAGGAUUGGAUGGACGUACUCAGUGGUGGAGAAAAGCAAAGAAUGGCAGUGAGUAUACUCUGAAGAAAUUGCACAAGAAUGUAAC